ACUGAGUGGCUCCAAGAACCUAGAAAAAGCCAUCCAAAUUAUGUACCAAAACCUGCAGCAAGAUGGGCUGGAGAAAGUUCACCUGGAGCCAGUGAGAAUACCCCACUGGGAGAGGGGAGAAGAAUCAGCUGUGAUGCUGGAGCCAAGAAUUCAUAAGAUAGCCAUCCUGGGUCUUGGCAGCAGCAUUGGGACUCCUCCAGAAGCAUUACAGCAGAAGUUCUGGUGGUGACCUCUUUCGAUGAACUGCAGAGAAGGGCCUCAGAAGCAAGAGGGAAGAUUGUUGUUUAUAACCAACCUUACAUCAACUACUCAAGGACGGUGCAAUACCGAACGCAGGGGGCGGUGGAAGCUGCCAAGGUGGGGGCUUUGGCAUCUCUCAUUCGAUCCGUGGCCUCCUUCUCCAUCUACAGGUUUGUCACAA
rnacentral:lncRNA from 1 species